rnacentral:rRNA from 2 species
UUAUACCGCGAAACUGCGAAUGGCUCAUUAAAUCAGUUAUCGUCUAUUUGAUAGUACCUUACUACUUGGAUAACCGUGGUAAUUCUAGAGCUAAUACAUGCUGAAAAUCCCGACUUCGGAAGGGUUGUAUUUAUUAGAUUAAAAACCAAUGCCCUUCGGGGCUCACUGGUGAUUCAUAAUAACUUCUCGAAUCGCACGGCCUUGCGCCGGCGAUGGCUCAUUCAAAUUUCUGCCCUAUCAACUUUCGACGGCUUGGUCUUGGCCAGCCGUGGUGACAACGGGUAACGGAGGGUUAGGGCUCGGCCCCGGAGAAGGAGCCUGAGAAACGGCUACUACAUCCAAGGAAGGCAGCAGGCGCNCAAAUUACCCAAUCCCGAUACGGGGAGGUAGUGACAAUAAAUACUGAUACAGGGCUCUUUUGGGUCUUGUAAUUGGAAUGAAGACAAUUUAAUUCCCUUAACGAGGAACAAUUGGAGGGCAAGUCUGGUGCCAGCAGCCGCGGUAAUUCCAGCUCCAAUAGCGUAUAUUAAAGUUGUUGCAGUUAAAAAGCUCGUAGUUGAACCUUGGGCCUGGCUGGCCGGUCCGCCUCACCGCGUGCACUGGUCCGGCCGGGCCUUUCCCUCUGGGGAACCGCAUGCCCUUCACUGGGCGUGUCGGGGAACCAGGACUUUUACUUUGAAAAAAUUAGAGUGUUCAAAGCAGGCUUAUGCUCGGAUACAUUAGCAUGGAAUAAUAGAAUAGGACGUGCGGUUCUAUUUUGUUGGUUUCUAGGACCGCCGUAAUGAUUAAUAGGGACAGUCGGGGGCAUCAGUAUUCAAUUGUCAGAGGUGAAA